CGCGCCCGCCCAUCCCCCGCUGCCCUUUUUCUCCUGGCCGGGUGCGAGGGAGCAUGCCCGCGCCUGGCCUCGGCCAGCGAAGAGUUAACCUGAGGGGCGAGCCGCUGCCCCCACCUCGGGGGCGUGCCCCCCUCCCCCGCUAGGCGGCCCGCCCCCCGCGCCAGGGUAUGGCCCCUGGCCCCGGCCCGGGACCCGAGGUCCCGCGCCCGGGUCAGUGAAAGGCGUCUUCCCGUUCCCGCCCUCUGCCUCCUCUCGCCGGCCAGCAACAUGGGAUGUAAUAUGUGCGUGGUCCAGAAACCGGAGGAGCAGUACAAAGUGAUGCUGCAGGAGGUGGAGCUGUAUAAAAGCAGCCACCGGGACAAGCUGGGCCUGAUGGUUUGCUACCGCACGGACGACGAGGAGGACCUGGGCAUUUAUGUCGGAGAGGUAAAUCCCAACAGCAUUGCAGCCAAAGACGGCCGGAUCCGUGAGGGAGACCGCAUCAUCCAGAUUAACGGUGUAGACGUCCAGAACC
rnacentral:sRNA from 1 species